GGUAAAAUGGCUGAUUUAAGGUGAUAAAUUGUAAAUUUAUUUAUGGAUUAAAAUUCCUUUUACU
rnacentral:tRNA from 1 species